GCAUAUCAAUAAGCGGAGGAAAAGAAACCAACCGGGAUUGCCUUGGUAACGGCGAGUGAAGCGGCAAAAGCUCAAAUUUGAAAUCUGGCGUCUUCGACGUCCGAGUUGUAAUUUGAAGAAGGCGACUUUGUAGCUGGUCCUUGUCUAUGUUCCUUGGAACAGGACGUCAUAGAGGGUGAGAAUCCCGUGUGGCGAGGAUCCCAGUUAUUUGUAAAGUGCUUUCGACGAGUCGAGUUGUUUGGGAAUGCAGCUCUAAGUGGGUGGUAAAUUCCAUCUAAAGCUAAAUAUUGGCGAGAGACCGAUAGCGAACAAGUACAGUGAUGGAAAGAUGAAAAGAACUUUGAAAAGAGAGUGAAAAAGUACGUGAAAUUGUUGAAAGGGAAGGGCAUUUGAUCAGACAUGGCGUUUGCUUCGGCUUUCGCUGGGCCAGCAUCAGUUUUAGCGGUUGGAUAAAUCCUCGGGAAUGUGGCUCUGCUUCGGUAGAGUGUUAUAGCCCGUGGGAAUACAGCCAGCUGGGACUGAGGAUUGCGACUUUUGUCAAGGAUGCUGGCGUAAUGGUUAAAUGCCGCCCGUCUUGAAACACGGACC
rnacentral:rRNA from 1 species